AGUCAUAUGCUUGUCUCAAAGACUAAGCCAUGCAUGUCUAAGUAUAAAUGAUAUACAGUGAAACUGCGAAUGGCUCAUUAAAACAGUUAUAGUUUAUUUGGUAGUCGAAUUUACAUGGAUAACCGUGGUAAUUCUAGAGCUAAUACAUGCUGUAAAGCCCGACUUCACGGAAGGGCCGUAUUUAUUAGAUAACAGACCAAUAUUCCUCGUGUCUAUUGUGGUGAAUCAUAGUAACUGAUCGAAGCUUAGCUAGGCUAAGCUAAAUCAUUCAAGUUUCUGCCCUAUCAGCUUUCGAUGGUAGUGUAUUGGACUACCAUGGCAGUCACGGGUAACGGGGAAUUAGGGUUCGAUUCCGGAGAGGGAGCCUGAGAAACGGCUACCACAUCUAAGGAAGGCAGCAGGCGCGUAAAUCACCCAAUCCUGACUCAGGGAGGUAGUGACAAGAAAUAACAACUCGGGGCCUCACGGCUUACGGGAUUGCAAUGAGAACAAUUUAAAUCUCUUAUCUAGGAACAAU
rnacentral:rRNA from 1 species